AUACCAGCAUAAACUACAGAGUAAAUAAGAUGUUCAGAGUUCAACUUCUGGAAUUUAAUGCAACAAACACAUAUACAUCCCCAUCAAAGCUGCUGUCGGUACUUUUGAUGCAAUGAUUUUCACUUGGGGACAUAUUCUCGGAUGAACACUUAUGGCGAUAAUACUGCCUUUGCAUGACGCAUUCCUCGACCAGCCAAAAGGCACUGGAUAGCACCAUGAUAUUGUCGAAAGCUAUCAUCAGAGAAUGAAUCCGUUGUUCAGAGUAGAUCUGCCUAAGAUUUUAUUGCAAUAUAGGAGUCGGGUACCAUCAAAGUUUCAUAAUAAAAUGCUAUAUGUUUGUGCACGCAAUAAAAUAAUCUGGCAAUGCGAUUAUAGCACAUUGGAAACACUUCAAACAAGGACGAGUUGGCAAAGUUUAUUGCAGGCAGUUUGAUCAGUGACAAAUUAUGCAUGCACUUUGUCACAUCCUAAUAAUAUUGCUUUGCAUCAGAGAUAUCAGUCAGAGGUAGUAAUGGGCGAACUUGAACCUGCAUAUUUUCCUAAUAGCCAAGUGCGUCAACCACAAUACUGUCAAAUACAAAUCUGCUAAGAGCAUGUUAGUGCCUGUUUAUGUCAAAUUGUAGAAGGUAGGCAUGAGAUUGGCCAUGCAUGCCCACAUAUAAAAAUAAAAAGCACAACCACAAAACAGUGUAAUAGGUUGGUGAACAGAUAGCCAAAAUAGCAGUCAAAAUCCAUCGCACUUUGUCACAAAUAAAUAAGAAAAUGUGGUAAUAACAAUAACAAUCCCUAAAAAUGUCAUGUGAUCAAUUGUGGUCAUGAUCACAGUUACUGCUGUGAAAAAUUAUUUGCACUAAGUGUUCACAACUUGCUAAGAGAGCUUGACCUAGUAAAAAAUCCUCAUAUGUGCACAGCAGUGGCAAAAAACGAGAUGAGCGUCGCAACUUGGUGACCAUUAUCUGCCUACAUACUACACAAAACUGAAUUUAAAUUUAAAGGAGAAAUGACAAAGCAGUUCGUGUGCCAAUGAUGGUUAAGCGCACUGCAAUGCCUUGCCAUGUGUUGAAAGCUGACCUCCAAGCAACCAAAAUGUAAGUGACCCUACACUGAAGCAGGGUCUUUAAAUGACGAACGUGUAUCACAUCCUGACAUUCGCGGACGCAGUCACCAAAUGAAAAACACCUUUGCAAAUCGCAAUAACGACGAAUGUCAAGCGCGCGCACACAGACAGAAUGCGAGCAGUUUCCGAAAGCGCUCACGAAAGACUGUACGGACGUUCCUACGCGUUCGACGCAUAUCAGAAGCGCGCGCGUGCGCGCACACGCACACACACAAGCACAAAAGGCGAGCAGUUUCCGAAAGCACUCGCCUUACAAGAAAGCAAAUCCCGCCGGCGUGGCACCAUUUCCCGAAGCACAAACAACACCACAGUACACAUCCGUAGAACGGCGCACAACAAGCCUGAACAAAGUGUACACCACUCGACGCCAAAUCUGUCGUCGAUUACGCCGCUGAGAAUCACGAACACUUUCUAACAUUCACAAACCAAACGACGAUGUGCUGCGAACUUCAAACAGAUUUUACGGCCCUGUCCGGUUGAUAGGGCUGCUCCACAGGUUGUCCUCGCUGUUGAAAGCAAUGUCACCAAAGUUGUUGAAAAAGGUCGCCUAAAACACGCAAGAACAUUGAAAUAAUACGCCUGUACUACCCACGCUACCGAUGCGAUCACGGUUACCGGAACCACAGACGGCGAAGUAAACAAAAGACGUCAUUUCCCCUCAUUUCGGACCGAGACCUAUAAUUACUUUCUCAGUUGCACGACUCUUCCUUUCGAGCAAGGCGCGACUUGUUCCUGGGACUGUGAGGGCGCUGCGGUCGAGCUCUGCACCAAGUGAGCGGUGCUGCUCUGCUGACAUGUGCAGGUUAGUUGCGGGUGUUUGCGCUUCUUGUGCUGUAGCCGAUUUUAUUUUCUCACUGCGUGUGCCUUGUCACUGUCCUCGUGCACGUGGCUGGCGGUCGAGGUCUUUUGCGUCCGGUUCAAGUUUUGCGCUCACGGAGACGCCAGUACCGGCGAAGUGUGGGUCACCGAGCGUUAACAUUGCGUGCGCACUUUGGUUUGUAGGCCCACUUUUUUUUCAUCUCAUUCCUUUCUUCGGACCUGCACCCCCAUGUAUGGUGUCUGUAAAAUAUUAUACUUCAGCUUAAACAACAACAGAAAGAAAUAACGGCUGCUUUAUUCAGCGAGCACCAUGUAAAUGCCGAGUGCCGCGACAAGCACCUAUAACCGUGCCAGGCUAUAGCAGACGAUGCUUGGACGCUCGGCGCGGAGGUCGAUGGCAGCGCUGCGGUGGCGUGAACGGUAGCGGGCUAAAUGGUGCGCAUAGGCUAGGAGUUGGGGUACUUAAAGAGGAUCUAUAAACGUUGUUGCGGCGGCCCGGUGGUCACGGGCGGUCGAUGUGGUACUGAUCGUUUGAUCAUAUUUACGCGGUGCGUAGAGAACAUGUGCUCCUUUUUUGUGUGAAUUAACGAUCACUAAGCCCUGGGUCCUGUGCAAUGCUAUUAGCUCGCUGUAUGUUUCUUGCGGUGCGCCGUUGUUGAUUAUCGUAGUGCGGUCCACACGCGCUUCCUUUGUGCCCGGCUCAUGAGAAGUGUUGUACUCUCGCCGCUCCCGCAUCGGCUCACAGUGCACGGAAGAAUGUGUUGAUAGUUGUGCUAUCGCGUGCUGUAGUUCACCGCAAUUCAACACUACGCUGGACGGACUGUUGGUGCAGUCGAUGCGGCGUGAACGGACACGAAGGAGCGCUCGCCUCAGAAGGGAUGUCACAAUUUCCUGAGACGGAGGCAUCUCUGCACCACAAAGGAGACUGCGGCACUAUGCAGCCAGAACAGCACGACAAAGCAUCUGAUCUGCCUGCUUUGACAAGAUGUGGCUGGGCCUGCAGAAAGAGUGUAAGCACACUACUGUGUUGCUGAUCAGUGCUUGUGCUGAUCUCUACGUCUGAGUUGGCCUCAGAACGUCCAGGCGCCACUGUGCUUUGCUUCAUUGACAAGGUGUGGCUGGGCCUGCAGAAAAGCUGUAAGCAGACUGCAGUGUUGCUGAUCAGUGCUGAUCUCCACGUCCGAGUUGGUCCCACAAUAUCCAGGCACCACGGUGCUUUCACAAGGUUCACAAUCCAAAUGGGUUAUUUAUUUGUGCUAGCAAGUGGAUGUGGGUAAACCAAGCCAAAACGGACAGCACGUUUGCCAGGGAGAUUGCCCAAUGCUUGUGGCAGGCACAUGAAUUAAUCCACAGGAGUGUUACGAGCAAAAUAUGUAUGCGAAAGCUAAAGGAAGGUGGUGAGGCCAAGCCAGCGUUGACACCACAAAAACUUGGUGCAUAUCUAAAGGCAUACGAGCACUUUGUUUCAAAAACGCCAAGCACCGUGGAUACAAAGGCAAGGAGGCUGAAGGACCUGAACAAGCACCUGGCCACCAUGCUUCGGGAUGCAAAAUAAAGAUGGUUUGUGUUAAUUGCGGGCCCUAAAAA